GGAGGGGCCAUGGCUCAGUGGAAGAGCCUCCGCUUGGCAUGUAGAAGUCCCCAGGUUCAGUCCCUGGCAUCUUCA
rnacentral:tRNA from 1 species